CCUACGGGAGGCAGCAGUGAGGAAUAUUGGUCAAUGGGCGUAAGCCUGAACCAGCCAAGUCGCGUGAGGGAUGAAGGUUCUAUGGAUCGUAAACCUCUUUUAUAAGGGAAUAAAGUGUGGGACGUGUCCUGUUUUGUAUGUACCUUAUGAAUAAGGAUCGGCUAACUCCGUGCCAGCAGCCGCGGUAAUACGGAGGAUCCGAGCGUUAUCCGGAUUUAUUGGGUUUAAAGGGUGCGUAGGCGGCCUUUUAAGUCAGCGGUGAAAGUCUGUGGCUCAACCAUAGAAUUGCCGUUGAAACUGGGAGGCUUGAGUAUGUUUGAGGCAGGCGGAAUGCGUGGUGUAGCGGUGAAAUGCUUAGAUAUCACGCAGAACCCCGAUUGCGAAGGCAGCCUGCCAAGCCAUGACUGACGCUGAUGUACGAAAGCGUGGGGAUCAAACAGGAUUAGAUACCCCGGUAGC
rnacentral:rRNA from 1 species